UACGUAGGGUGCGAGCGUUGUCCGGAAUUAUUGGGCGUAAAGGGCUCGUAGGCGGUUUGUCGCGUCGGGAGUGAAAACCCAGGGCUUAACUCUGGGCUUGCUUUCGAUACGGGCAGACUAGAGGUAUGCAGGGGAGAACGGAAUUCCUGGUGUAGCGGUGAAAUGCGCAGAUAUCAGGAGGAACACCAGUGGCGAAGGCGGCUUCCUGGCCUGUUCUUGACGCUGAGGCGCGAAAGCUAGGGGAGCAAACGGG
rnacentral:rRNA from 1 species